UUAUUAUUAUAUUUUAUUAUUUUUAUUAAGACAAAGAUUUGAUAAAAAAUAUUUUUUUUAAUGCACAAUAAAGUAAAUAAUAAUAAUAAUAAUAUUUUUGAUAAUGAUCCUUCCGCAGGUUCACCUACGGAAA
rnacentral:misc_RNA from 1 species